UGCAUAUAUAAGCUAUCCCAUAAUUUUUGGGUAAUUAUUUGGAGUUGAAAAAGUAUUUUAUUUAAAUAGAUAUAUGGCCCUAAAGGCAUUUAUAGGGCAAAUGUAUUUUUAUAUAUUUUAUUUUGAAGAGAAACUACUUCCAAAAGUUGUAUCAUGGUAGAAUAUGAUUUUACAAAUUCUCUGGAAUUUAUUUGGACCAAUUUGGAGUUCAAACUCAAAAGAUAUCAAAGAAAUGAGAAAAACAGAAAAAGAAAAGGUCUAAAAGAGAAAAAUAAGGGUAAACCGGACCGGCUCGGCCACUUUGGGCCGAACCGGCCCAGUCCGACCGCGCC
rnacentral:lncRNA from 1 species